rnacentral:rRNA from 1 species
CGCGCAGGUGGUUGAUUAAGUCUGAUGUGAAAGCCCACGGCUUAACCGUGGAGGGUCAUUGGAAACUGGUCGACUUGAGUGCAGAAGAGGGAAGUGGAAUUCCAUGUGUAGCGGUGAAAUGCGUAGAGAUAUGGAGGAACACCAGUGGCGAAGGCGGCAACCUGGCUCAUUACUGACGCUGAGGCGCGAAAGCGUGGGGAGCAAACAGGAUUAGAUACCCGAGUA